ACCUACGGGGGGCAGCAGUGAGGAAUAUUGGUCAAUGGUCGGGAGACUGAACCAGCCAAGCCGCGUGAGGGAUGAAGGUACAGAGUAUCGUAAACCUCUUUUGUCAGGGAACAAAGGCGGGGACGUGUCCCCGGAUGAGUGUACCUGAAGAAAAAGCAUCGGCUAACUCCGUGCCAGCAGCCGCGGUAAUACGGAGGAUGCGAGCGUUAUCCGGAUUUAUUGGGUUUAAAGGGUGCGCAGGCGGUCUGUUAAGUCGGCGGUCAAAGCCCGGGGCUCAACCCCGGCCCGCCGUUGAAACUGGCAGU
rnacentral:rRNA from 1 species